rnacentral:lncRNA from 1 species
AUGGAUGGAAAGAAAGGUGUUAGAAAUCGAGGUUGCGGUGUUGGGACGUUGUUGUGGUGUUGUGUUGUUGUGGUGUCGUCAUUGUGGCGUUGUGUCGUCACAUGUUGUUGUGGUGUUGUGUUGUGGUGUCGUUGUUGUGUCAUUGUGUUGUUGUGUCGUCACAUGUUGUUGUGGUGUUGUGUUGUGGUGUUGUUGUUGUGUCAUUGUGUUGUUGUGUCGUCACAUGUUGUUGUGGUGUUGUGUUGUGGUGGUGUUGUUGUGUCAUUGUGUUGUUGUGGUGUUGUGUCGUUGUUGUGUUGUGUUUUGGUGGUGGUGUGUCAUUGUGUUGUGUCGUGUCGUUGUGUUGUUGUGAUGUCGUCGUUGUGGCGUUGUGUCGUCACAUGUUGUUGUGGUGUUGUGUUGUGGUGUCGUGUCGUUGUGUCAUUAUGUCAUUGUGUUGUUGUGGUGUUGUGUCGUCGUGUCGUUGUGUCAUGGUGUUGUGGUGUUGUGUCGUGUUGUUGUUGUGGUGGUGCGUUGUGGUGUUGUGUCGUUGUGUCAUGGUGUUGUUGUGGCGUUGUGUUGUUGUGUCAUGAUACUGUUGUGGUGGUGUGUCGCUGUGUCAUGGUGCUGUGGUGUUGUGUCGUUGUGUCAUUGUGUCAUGAUGCUGUUGUGGUGUUGUGUUGUGUCAUGAUGUUGUGGUGGUGUGUUGUGGAGUUGUGUCGUUGUGUCAUGAUGUUGUGGUGUUGUGUCGUGCUCUUGUGUUGGUGCGUUGUGGUGUUGUGUCG